UUCAGUCGACCUUAGCUGGUCUCUCUGGUCUGAGAUUCAGGCUCUGAAAUCUUAUCAGCACAGACUUUUGCAACCUCUGUAUUUUUCUGGCCUUGUUCUUAUUUUCUAGACUGUGCAGUCCUGGCCCUGGAAUUUCCCCCUCUUGCUCUGGUCUCAAGGGGCCUUCCCAAAAUAACAGCAUGCCCAUGAGACCGGAGGGCGCAGUGGACUGGACUGUCCUGGCUGGCUGCUUCCUUCUCUGUGUCCCUGGACCACUUCCUCUGAGUUUCUGCUUCCUCCGCUGCAAAAUGGAAGUUGUGAGAGCCCACAUUUCUUAGGGUUGUUAUGAAAGCUCGGAUGGAUCAGUGUUUGUCAAGUGCUUAGGAGAAGCCUAUCACAUAGCUGUACUACAUGGUCUGAAUGGUAUGGAGAAAGGAGAAUGCACAGGCACUAAGACUUGUAAAGCACCGACUAGUCAGCAGAUUCCCUAAUCACGUUAUACCCAGCACCUUGUGUGAGGCUCAGAAAGCAAGUAGGUCACUGCCCUCCUUUUACAGGUGGGAAAGACCAUAGCUCAGAGGGAUAAAAUAACUGACCACGGUCCUAUCCCUAUGGAUGGUAGAGCAGAGACUCAGUCCAGGAUUGUGUGACUCCAAAGCCUGAACUGUCCAUAUUAAGAAUGAUGUGGCUAGGUGUGGCAGCAUGUGUCUGAAAUCCCAGCUUUCUGGGAGGCCGAGGCAGGAAGAUUUCAAGUUUGAAUCCAUCAUAGAUAAUUUAGUGAGUUAGCAACACCUUGUCUCAAAAUUUUUAUUUAAAAAAAGGGCUGAAGAUAGCUCAGUGAGAAGGCCUGGGGUUUGGUUCCCAAUCCUGGAAAAAAAAAAAAAAGAUGCCACUAGAAAGACUUCACUUAAUUUGAUUCUAAAAGCUUAACAUACCUCUCAAUCUCUAGUUUAAAAACAGUUAAGAUUUCACUUAAAGGUCUUGGUAACAAAUCCUUCUAUGAAAUAACUCGUUUCUCUAUA